AACUAGGGAUAGAUAACCUAUUAUUUUAAAUGUAAGUUUAUAGAUGCUAAAUUAGUAAAAGUUAUGUUCUUGAAAAUUAAAAAAUUUGGCGGUAUUUUAGUCUUUUCAGAGGAACCUGUCCUGUAAUUGAUAGUCCACGAUUAGAAAAACUUUAUUUAUUAAUUUAUAUAUCGUUGUAGUUUGAAUAUUUUAAGAGAAGUUAAAUAUUCAUGAUUUUAAAUUAAAAAAUAAAUCAGAUCAAGGUAUAGUUUAUAAUAAAGUAGAGAUGGGUUACAUUAAAAAUAUUUAAGGAUAAUUUUUUUUAAAAGGAUUUGAAUGUGGAUUUGAAAGUAAUUAUAAAUAUAUAUUUAUAAUGAUUUUAGCUCUAAAAUAUGUACAUAUCGCCCGUCGCUUUCAUUUUAAAGUGAAAUAAGUCGAAACAUAAGU
rnacentral:rRNA from 1 species